GCGCACCAGGCGCGAAAACUCCGCAAUGCGCGAAAGCGUGACGGGGUCACCCCGAGUGCCGUCCGCUGAGGAUGGCUUUUGCCUGGUCUAACCAGCCGGGUGAAUAAGGGGAGGGCAAGUCUGGUGUCAGCCGCCGCGGUAAUACCAGCUCCCCGAGUGGUUGGGACGAUUAUUGGGUCUGAAGCGUCCGUAGCCGGCCGGAAAAGUUCCCCGUUAAAUCUGGCGAUCCAAUCGUUGGGCUGCGGGGAAUACUCUUCGGCUUGGGGGCGAGGGAGGUCGGCGGUAGUCCCGGGGUAGGGGCGAAAUCCUAUAAUCCUAGGGGGACCACCAGUGGCGAAGGCGUUCUGCGAGAACGGGCUCGACGGUGAGGGGCGAAAGCUGGGGGAGCGAACCGGAUUAGAUACCCGGGUAGUCC
rnacentral:rRNA from 1 species